UCCGGUGGUGCAGUUGGUCGCGUGCCGUCUUACGGAGCGCGGGGUCGCGGGUUCGAGUCCCGGGCGAGAA